rnacentral:sRNA from 1 species
CCUCUGUAGUUCUGUGGCCUGAGGGACCCCAUCCCUCUGCCGCGGUUCUACGUUUUUAUACACACCCCGUAGUAAAGUCUUAUGGAAUGUGUGCCGCGUUUAACGCAAUGAAAUACAACUUUCAGCAACGGAUCUCUUGGCUCUCGCAUCGAUGAAGAACGCAGCGAAAUGCGAUAAGUAAUGUGAAUUGCAGAAUUCAGUGAAUCAUCGAAUCUUUGAACGCACCUUGCGCCCCUUGGCUAUUCCGAAGGGCAUGCCUGUUUGAGUAUCAUGAACACCUCAACCCUUGUGGUUUGCCACGAUCGGCUUGGACUUUGGAGGUUUUGCUGGCCCCUGUGGUCGGCUCCUCUCAAAUGAAUCAGCUUACCAGUGUUUGGUGGCGUCGCAGGUGUGAUAACUAUCUACGCUUGUGGCUGUCUGCCAUGUAACCUUCAGCGAUGAGGGUUCGCUGGAGCUCACAGAUGUCUCUCCUGAGUGAAGACAGCUUUUCGAUCGUUCGAUCUCAUAUCAGGUAGGACUACCCGCUGAACUUAAGCAUAUCAAUAAGCGGAGG